GAGGACUUUCUGGCACUGCUUCAGAAGGUGGCAAGUCCCUGGAUAUCCCCCGGAGACAGGCCACAAGCAGAGCUAGACAUCAUUCCUCUGCUCAAGAGAAGCUGCACCCUUUGAGUCACAUGACCCAGCCCAUGCAUCGCAUGCUCCUGGCUCCAGAUGCAGCCUAUGAUGGAAUCAACAGACUGUGAACCAAACAGCACAGAGAGACACAUGAUUACAUCGUGUGAGCUUGAAAUCUGAAGUCUGAAGCCUGGUCUGAGUCUGAAGCCAGGGUUGCCCUUGUGAAGAAAGGUGGUCCCUCUUGGUGGAAAUGGAAAGGCAACCCCAAGUCCUUGGCAGAGGGGUGCUGGCUGAUCUUGAGUCUCCCUUUAUGGCACAUACAACUGUACAAAUUGCACAAGGAGGCCCUGACUGUGAAUGUUAAACUAACUGGUGGUGUGAUUAUCAUACAGAACACUCACCACUGCUCUCUAGACAGAAGCAGAGGGAUGGAAGAAAGAAAGGCAGAAAGGCAGGGUUUGCCUUUUGCAUUGCCUUCACGUCAUAAUAUAGCAAACUGCACCAGACAAUUGCUACAAGACCUA